AAAUAUGCAUCCCUACCAUCAAAAGGUCCAAAAGAGUCUCGCAUACGCCUCGUAAUUUCCUUUGCAAUAUCUCUUGCUUCAUUUGACUUGGGCCUGUAGAUCCCCAUAUUCUUCGACGAAUUUUUCUCUUCCUCUUCUCCUGCUCCCCCCGGCGAAGCACGAAGAUAUUUUGCAUGCUUCCUCUCGUCAGGGUGAUGUGGAACAGAAGCAAUAUUACUUUGUGUUAUCCCUAGGUUUGGCUUCAGAACAACA
rnacentral:misc_RNA from 1 species